AAUCAACGCUGGCGGCGUGCCUAACACAUGCAAGUCGCACGAGAAAGGGACUUCGGUCCUGAGUACAGUGGCGCACGGGUGAGUAACACGUGAAUGAUCUACCUUCGAGUGGGGAAUAACUGAGAGAAAUCUUAGCUAAUACCGCAUAAUACCCACGGGUCAAAGCAGCAAUGCGCUUGAAGAGGAGUUCGCGGCAGAUUAGUUAGUUGGCAGGGUAAGGCCUACCAAGACGAUGAUCUGUAUCCGGCCUGAGAGGGCGCACGGACACACUGGAACUGAAACACGGUCCAGACUCCUACGGGAGGCAGCAGUGGGGAAUUUUGCGCAAUGGGGGAAACCCUGACGCAGCAACGCCGCGUGGAGGAUGAAAUCCC
rnacentral:rRNA from 1 species